rnacentral:rRNA from 1 species
CCUACGGGAGGCAGCAGUGGGGAAUAUUGCACAAUGGGGGGAACCCUGAUGCAGCGAUGCCGCGUGGGUGAAGAAGCAUUUCGGUGUGUAAAGCUCUGUCAGCAGGGAAGAAACCCACAGUACGUGGACACGAAGCACAGGCUAAUUACGUGCCAGGAGCCGCGGCAAUACGUAGGGGGCAAGCGUUAUCCGGAUUUACUGGGUGUAAAGGGAGCGUAGGCGGAGUGGCAAGUUAGAGGUGAAAACCCGGGGCCCAACCCCGGAAGUGCAUUUGAAACUGCCAAGCUGGAGUGCCGGAGCGGUAAGCGGAAUUCCUGGUGUAGCGGUGAAAUGCGUAGAUAUUAGGAGGAACACCAGUGGCGGAGGCGGCUUACUGGACGGUAACUGACGCUGAGGCUCGAAAGCGUGGGGAGCAAACAGGAUUAGAUACCCCAGUAGUC